CUACGGGCUGCUCCAGUGGGGAAUAUUGCACAAUGGGCGCAAGCCUGAUGCAGCCAUGCCGCGUGUAUGAAGAAGGCCUUCGGGUUGUAAAGUACUUUCAGCGGGGAGGAAGGGAGUAAAGUUAAUACCUUUGCUCAUUGACGUUACCCGCAGAAGAAGCACCGGCUAACUCCGUGCCAGCAGCCGCGGUAAUACGGAGGGUGCAAGCGUUAAUCGGAAUUACUGGGCGUAAAGCGCACGCAGGCGGUUUGUUAAGUCAGAUGUGAAAUCCCCGGGCUCAACCUGGGAACUGCAUCUGAUACUGGCAAGCUUGAGUCUCGUAGAGGGGGGUAGAAUUCCAGGUAUAGCGGUGAAAUGCGUAGAGAUCUGGAGGAAUACCGGUGGCGAAGGCGGCCCCCUGGACGAAGACUGACGCUCAGGUGCGAAAGCGUGGGAAGCAAACAGGAUUAGAUACCCUGGUAGUC
rnacentral:rRNA from 1 species